UAGGAGUUUCAAAGCUUGAGAGCAGUAGCACAGCAAGAUCCGCCGCCCACUGACUCAAGUCCCAUAUGUAGGACUGCCAGAAGUCCAGUGCCAGAAGUUGAUGAAUCUGUGUGUUUGUAGCUGAUAAGUCUUCUCUUUCCUUCCAGUUAUGUGAACAGCACAGGAGUUCGUAUAAAGACCUCAAAUGGAUGUAGAUGACACCACUGCACUCAGGCAAAGCAGGCCGAUUCCGAGCAAGCGGACCCCCACGAACAGCACCGCUACGGAUCCUAAUGCUCCAAGUCAGCUGUUUGGGAAAUUCUUCAAUGUGGAUGAGAGAUGACUGGGAACAUGCCAUGAUUCAGCUGAGACGUAGUGAAAAUGCAAGACUAUUAGGGAGAAGAGAGCUCGCAGCCGAAAGGGAGGGAAAGCCGGAAGCUGAAACACAGAGCAACCGACUAAGAGGCAAGGAUGCUGUGCCCAGACACUGCAGGUAUUCAGGAAGUGCUACAAGUGGAAACAGUUGGGAUGGAAACAAAACUCACCAGCCAACAACAAACAACUCAAUAGCAGAACUUGUGUCAUUCAGCUUCUCACUAAUGUUACUCAUCAUCUGACCCACACUCAAACCAGUCCCUCUGUAAACUCAGAUGCAGGCUCUGUCAGAGGUAUCAACCAAGUUAGCCUGCCAGUGAGAAAAAAAACAAUGGUAUGGUUAAUUUUGGUUUCCCUAAUUGUAGUUUGAAUACAAAUGAUCCAGUUCCUGGAGGAGUGUUAGAAUGCCAUUCACUGUUCACAGACACUUUGUUAAGUUAUGAUUUACUCUGACAGUUUGUUAGUUUGACAAGUAUUGACAUGGUCAGUUUUACGAAUUGCUUUCUUGCUUUUUAGUA